rnacentral:lncRNA from 1 species
AUUCCACCUUUAACUAUUAAGAGUGCCCACAUUUUCUUUUCCCCUGGGUAAUAUUGCAAGUCCUCAUGGGGGAGCUCCUUCUCCCUGCAAAAGGAAGCCAAAGGCCUAUUUGAACAAGAGCCCAGUUUCUCCCCUACCAACCAUCACUGUCACAAACUGACCAACCCGGCAGUGCUGCCAGCCAUGAGUGGACAGGUUGACUGACAGCAAGCCCAGAUCUGCCGCUCACACACAUCUAGGCAGGCUGGGGAUGGAAAAGAGGUGUGCUGGGCCUGUCUGGCACUGACAGCUUCUGCCACACCAACAUUUCAAUCAGCACCAUGUUACGCCAACCCUUGUGUCACUCAAAAAUAGUUCAGCAUCAGCUCCAGGGGUGUCUUCUAGGGAUCCCAUGGAAUCCCUGAGCUGCUGCAUUGAGAGGGGUGACCAGGUCCAUCACAGCAUCUGCCAUACCUCCUUCUCUUGCCAGAUAAUUAGGACACAGUCCAGUUGGGUGACUUUAUCCUGCCUGAGGAAGUGACAACUAAUACAGGGCUGGCAGAAGAGAGCAUUCUGUGGUUCAUCAUGACUAUCCAAAUCAGCGAAAGCUGUCUGGAGCAUCCAAGAAAAAUUGAGUUUUGUGUAUUCUUUUUUGGGGGAGGUAGAAUAGCAAGGCUAGGUGUGCUUUGAAAUGCCAAGCUAACUACAUGAGCACUUAGGUACACUUAUUCAUACAGAUAAACUAACUUGCACAAGCACCUAGAUACAAACCUGCCUGUUUAUAUAUAAGCUAAUUUAUGCACAGACCAUAGGCAUAUGUGCACGUAAAAGCAUUCAUGCUAAUGUGCAUGCUUGUAAACACACGUAUGCAAACUUGCAUUCAGAUGCACACUCAGAAAACACAGAUGCAUAAAUGCAUUUGCUGCAUAUGUGGGUGCACACAAACACGUGUACAAUGCGUACAGAUUGAUAAAUUCAUAAAUGCAGGCAAAUGCUGAUGCAAAUAUGUCAAAGGACACACACACACUUGCACAUACCCACACACGCAGUUAUUUCAAGGAUGAAUUCAAAGAGAAAGGGAGAAAGGAUGAAGAACAUUUAUGUAUUGGAGUUUCUACCUGUCAUCACUCAAAUCACUUUCAAGUGUGUAAAACAGAAGAGGGGAAAAAAAAUCAAUUCUUGAUAGGAGAGGUUCAAGGAGCUGUGAAAUCAAUUAUAUUUUAUUUUCGAAUAUCAUUCAGAGAAGUUUACACUCUUUCAGAAAAGUCUGGUCUCGCCAGGGGGCAAAGAACCAGCUGGAAAUGGUAAUGUGAAAGGCAUUGCAAAGUUCAAGGCAAAGGCCAGUGCUGAGGUCAGAAAUGACACUUUCAUCUUCUCUGGCAGGAGAAGGAGGUUGGGAGGGUUUCAAGUGCUCUGAUUCAGAUAAUGGCCACAAGGGCUAUCUGAAGUGACACUGGUCACCUCAUUGAUUGCCAAGUUCAUAUGAAAAAAUAAAUGUCUGUGAGAUCUGAAGGAAACCUUGGAAAACUCUCUGCCCCCACUUAUUUAUUGACUUAUUUAUUGGCUUUUUUAAAUACAAAGAGACAAAGAGGCUGGAAGAAGAGGCGUGGUUUGCACAGCAUCAUCCAGGAAAAGGGUGCAGAGUCUGGGACUGAGCCCAGCCAGCUGGUUUCCCAACACCAAACUUCCUGCUUCUCCCAUUAGACAUCUGCCUUCAGAACACCCUUCCUACCAGGCAGAACUUUGACGUCUCAAAGACCUUUAUAAGCAAGCAACUCAUUAACUCAUGUAGUGUUGGGGACAUUUAAUUGCAGACACCAGGCUGAGGGCUGGUGGCUGGCCAGAGGUAUCAGUAGGGCCAGACCCAAGUGGCCUGUGCCUAAGAGUAGCACAGCCCAGUCAGUUUUUUUGUUUGUUUGUUUGUUUGUUUUUUGUCUUUUUGCCAUUUCUUGGGCCGCUCCCACGGCAUAUGGAGGUUCCCAGGCUAGGGGUCUAAUCGGAGCUGUAGCCCCCGGCCUACGCCAGAGGCACAGCAACGCAGGAUCCAAGCCGCGUCUGUGACCUACACCACAGCUCAUGGCAACACCGGAUCAUUAACCCACUGAGCAAGGGCAGGGAUCGAACCCGCAACCUCAUGGUUCCUAGUCGGAUUCGUUAACCACUGCGCCAUGACAGGAACUCCCCAGUCAGUUUUGAUAUGAAUACCUCUCUGCCAUUGGGAUGGUUUUUAUUCCUAAUAUAUGCUAAAUGGGCCUUGAUGACCAGGGCUGUAUUCCCAAAAACAUAGUGAGGUAGCAUCGUGAAAAAAUUAAAUUAAAUUAAAUUAAAAAGCCCAUCAUCACACUUUGUAAUGCAGAAACCUUAAUAAGCAAAUCAGCUCAGCUAAAUAUAAAAGGAUUGGGGCUGGGGGAUGGGGGGGCAUGGCAGAGGUGACAUUCACAAAGUCAGAUCUUACCAUGAUAAGUUUCUGUUUUCUCCUUGAAGAACAAUAAAAAUGGAGAACAAAAAGCUACAUCUGGGUUGCCGAGGGUGGGGUGAAAUUGGUCAAAAUAUAUGAAAACACCUUGUAAAUGUAUUGGACAAAUGUCAGGUAUGUUAUUGCCUAUACUUUUUAUAAAGGAAAACAUUAUCCCAGAGCAUUUUUUUCCUUCCAUUACCCCCCACUGGGUAAUGGACUGAGACCAACCUUGCCGUCCACUGAUUUUUUAAAGACUGGCCAAGUGAGCUGACCUGAGUGACCAUCUCUCAGAACCAUGAUUUCAGGCAUUUUCUACACUCCUGCUGGGACACAAGAAGGGACCUUACUCAGUGCCAUGUAACUGUAGGUUUUCUCAUAAAAGAAUUUUACAGAAUGCUACAAAUGUGAUUUCCCACUUGUAGAUUCACAAAACACAGAAGCAUCAUCGAAAGCAUCUUCAGGCUUCUGAGAGGUCUUUUGGGAAACAAACCUGCUCAACAUGUUUCUAAAAUGUUUGUAAAUGUUUUCGUCUUGUGCCAUCCCCACCUCCCUGACAAACACCUUUUUUCUUUUUCUUUUUUUUUUUUAAUGUUGUAUACCUAUUAAUAUCCUAAAAAGGGAUUUUCCACAGAACACAAUUUGGGGAAGUGCUCAUCUGGUUCAGUGGCCUCAUUUUACACAGGAAACAUUUGCUAAGGAAAAUAAGUUGGCCACGAUCACGCAGCAAAUUGAGGAUAGAGCUACAAUUCCUGACGUUCUUACUCUUCUCAGAAUCCAUUUUAGGCACAGUUUAGUACCUGGCUAUCCUCUGUCUUACUGUGUUAUCCUUAUUUAUAAACAUGUGCAUAUUUUAGAAUGAAAUAUAUGUAAAGUCACUCCCCAUAGUUGCGGAAACAUUUCAAUCCCUCAAUAAACGUGAACUCUGAAUAUGUCUAUAUGUGUGGCUUUCCCAACUAGAUCAUGAGCUCCUCAGAGGGGCCAUGUCUCCUACACUUCUUUGUAUCCCCCUGGCUCAUGCAGUCCUUCUAGACACACCCGAGGCACUCCUUAACUGCUUUCUCAUCUACUGAUUGAAAAUCAGAGGCAGCUCCAGUUUUAUGCCCAUUGGAGGAAAGGAGAAAGCCUGACAUUAAAGCAAUAAAAUGAACCAUUUCCCCUACAGAGUUAGUCUAACAUUAAUAAAAGCUUCAUGUUGCACUAUUAUCCUCUCCUCUUAUUAUUUUUGUGUAUUUCAUGCUGGAUAUAAAUGUCAGAACACUUUAUCUGUCUGCAUUGCCAUGGAUUUAUUGCCACUGAAGGAACACAUGCAGUGACUUCUGACAAGGGGAGCCUUGUCUUCUGUGGCCUUCCCGCUCCUGCCCUGUCCAAGGUCCCUCAGUGAUGGCAGAGCUGUAGAAACUGGGCAGGGAGCACUGUGUCUGCUGUCUCAAGACAGGGUUCAAAACCCACUUUUCCUGUUUUCCAAUUCUGAGGUUUGGGGCACCUCACUUUUACUCUCUGGACUUCCCUAUUGGAAGCAGGGAUGGUGGUUUUAAAGCAUUUGUUUCCCCCCACCACACCUAACACUCCUUAAAAGAACCAUGGUUGUAUUCAGAUAGCUGUCCAUCCUUCUUAGGAUCUGAUGACUCAUGGGAGGUUAUUCUUACCCCAGAAUCAGGGCUCCAUCCAAGCCAGUUAGGGUUUUCCCACUCUCCACUGGGUCUGGCUGUGGUACAAAAUGGUUUCAGGAGUUUCCUGGUAGCUCAGCAGGUUAAGGAUCUGGAGUUGUCACUGCUGUGGCUCUGGGUAAUUUUGUGGCAUGGACUUGACCACUAGCCCAGGAACUUUCACAUGCUGCAGAUGCAGCCAAAAAAAAUUUAAAAAGUGCAGUUGUUUCAACUCAUUCCCGUAGAUAACAGAACCCGAGAUAAAGAUAUGGGCUCAAGCAGUUGGGACACAAUCCUAGGAAUCACUGUGAAGGAGUGAGGGUGUGAGAUGGGGAAGCAUGGAAAGUCAUCAAGGGGAAAUUCGCGGGUCAGUGUCCUCUGUGUGCCUCUGGGAGUUACUGCUGCUGCAGACUUUCUAUAGGACUCAGAAUUUACCCCAAAGGAAUGUGAUGGCCAGGAGUUUAGUUCUUAUUUCUCACUUACUUAAGGUCGCUCUUCAGGACUCUCUAGCAUUUCCAGCCUGGCCCAUGCAGAGGCUGAGCAUACUCCAGAGAUGGCCUUCAGGCUCAGAGAUGCAGCUUCCUGAGGAACAGAUCAAGAUAUAUGGGAUUUGCCCAAUAGCUUGCAGGUGAUCUGGGCACAGGCUGAGGGAACAGAGUGGAGCACUUACGGUGUCUGCUACUGAUGAGCAUGAGAUAGAGAUCUGGACAUUAAAACUUGAGGGAUUUCUGCUGGGUGACUCUUGUCAAGGUUUCCUUGUUCUUAAGAAGAAAACAGUAGAAGAAAAAUCGUUUCCUCUGAAUGUUGUCAUUGUCUGAAUAGGACAUUGAAAUUGUUGUAUCCAUAUCAGGGACAGGAGAAGUAGCCUUAGGAUGCAGGCAGUGCUGAGGACAGCAGAGUGGGAGGUCAAAAGCAACCCACGUCUUUGAUGAAGUUAUUGAGAUACUGACAUAUCCUGGCUGGUGCCUGACACCCUAGUGCUGGGUUUAUCAUAUGAGAAAUAAUAAACAGUAUCAUUGUUUAAGACAUUAAUCCAUUGUUGGAUUCAGGCUUUUCUAUUACUGGUUAAUGAGACACUGGAUAUGCUGGUUCCCUGAAAUGUAAAAUUGUAAUGCUGCUUAACACUCUUGCUACCUGAAAGUGUGGUCUGAGAUUUGGAAGCAUCACUGGGGAUCAGAAUUUCAGGUCCCACUCAGACUGUUGAAUCAGGAUUUGCAUUCAACCAGGUCCCCAGGUAACCCAUGUGUAUAUUAAAGUCUUAGGAGCCCUGCCUUGCAGAGCUGUGACUGCUAAAAGUGCUAGUGGACAGGGAUUACACUUGCCAUGUUGAAUUUGGUUAUUGUUUUUUAUUGACACCUUCAUAGCUCCUUCUAAUCAUUUUAUUCAUCAUUCCUUAUUUAAAAAUGAGAUUAUAUCAACCUAUGCAAAUGUAUACAAAUAUGAAUUUCAUUGCUGCGUAAUUAGUCUGGAAGGUAAUUUUAUUUUUUUUCUGUAGAAGUUAGUUUACCUAAAUAUUAAUGAGCAAUCAGAAUUCCAUUCUGAAAACAGAAGACAUUGUGAGCUGAGGGUGAGCAGAGGGAAGUGAGGAAUAAGAGGAUAACACAGGUAAACAUGGUUCUAUAUUAGGAUUACUUUGUGGGUUUGUAAUUUUCUAAGUCUGACAUCUGGCAAUUCGAAUGAAAGUAAACCAACUAGCAGCAGGCUGACCUUCGUAAACAAAUGAAUCAUCUACU